rnacentral:rRNA from 1 species
UACGUAGGGCGCAAGCGUUGUCCGGAAUUAUUGGGCGUAAAGGGCUCGUAGGCGGUUUGUCGCGUCGGGAGUGAAAACUCAGGGCUUAACCCUGAGCCUGCUUCCGAUACGGGCAGACUAGAGGUAUGCAGGGGAGAACGGAAUUCCUGGUGUAGCGGUGAAAUGCGCAGAUAUCAGGAGGAACACCGGUGGCGAAGGCGGUUCUCUGGGCAUUACUUGACGCUGAGGAGCGAAAGUGUGGGGAGCGAACAGG